GUCCACGCCGUAAACGAUGAGAACUAGAUGUUGGGUUGCUUAGCGACUCGGUAUCGUAGCUAACGCGUUAAGUUCUCCGCCUGGGGAGUACGGUCGCAAGACUAAAACUCAAAGGAAUUGACGGGGGCCCGCACAAGCGGUGGAGCAUGUGGUUUAAUUCGAUGCAACGCGAAGAACCUUACCUACCCUUGACAUACAGAGAAGUUUCCAGAGAUGGAUUCGUGCCUUCGGGAACUCUGAUAC
rnacentral:rRNA from 1 species